rnacentral:lncRNA from 1 species
CCCUAUAGUAAUCUUUAUACACAAAAGGAAUCAUAAAAAGUGGUUGUGGUGAUGAAGAUGAUGACGAUGUCUUCUCUCUUCCAAUCCUAAACAUCGAAUAAAUGGAUAACAUGAGAGGAAGAAACAUCUCUUUAUUCCUCUAACCAUUGAAAAUGGAGGCCACACGCAACAACAACAACAUUGAUGAGUCUCUUCUAUCGUUGUUUCUUUCUCUUUUCUUCUUCCUCUUCUCUUAUCUCUUUUGCGGCCAUUGUUGCACAAUAUUGACAUCGUUUCUGCGUGAAAAGAAGAGUAAGAAUCUUGUGCAGCAAGAAAGGUCUAGAAUUUCAAUUUAGAACAGAAAAAAUUAAUACGAGAGAAAAAAAAGAGCAAAGGAUCUUAACUGAAUCACGAUGAGAUUCAUAUAAGAGUACAAUCCUGUUUUUCUUCUCUUACCUCGGAAAAUUCACCGGAAUCUUAUGAAUGGGCUCGAAAAUCUUUGGCAAGGAAGAUUAAUGGUGAGAGAAGAUGAUGAAUCUCUUUCUUCUCCGAGAGACAGAGAGAGAGAGUCGAAAGUCGAGACGCAGAGGAGAAAUUGUCUCCUCCGGAGACUUGUACGUCUCCAUGGAAGCUUUCAACAUCAUAACACGUGUCAUUUCAUAUGUGUCUCCGUUCUCAUUACUUUAGAUCGGACCAAACCUACCAAUCUUUUUUAUGUUUUUUAUUUUAUAUGUUUUGUUUAUGUGCAUGAUGUUAUUAUUUUUCUUUCUUUUUCUGAUUUGUGUAUGUACCGCACGAUUUCUCGUAGUAUACACAUGAUUUGUAUUUGAGACUGAAAUAAAACCAUGCUAUACGUAGAUUUGGUACUA